rnacentral:rRNA from 1 species
CCUACGGGAGGCAGCAGUGAGGAAUAUUGGUCAAUGGGCUUACGCCUGAACCAGCCAAGUCGCGUGAGGGAAGACUGCCCUAUGGGUUGUAAACCUCUUUUGGCAGGGAGCAACGCCGGCUACGUGUAGCCGGACUGAGAGUACCUGAAGAAAAAGCAUCGGCUAACUCCGUGCCAGCAGGCGCGGUAAUACGGAGGAUGCGAGCGUUAUCCGGAUUUUUUGGGUUUAAAGGGUGCGUAGGCGGAAUGCCAAGUCAGCGGUAAAAUCGCGGGGCUCAACCUCGCUCCGCCGUUGAAACUGGCGUUCUUGAGUGGGCGAGAAGUAUGCGGAAUGCGUGGGGUAGCGGUGAAAUGCAGAGAUAUCACGCAGAACUCCGAUUGCGAAGGCAGCAUACCGGCGCCCAACUGACGCUGAAGCACGAAAGCGUGGGUAUCGAACAGGAUUAGAUACCCGAGUAGUC